GGAAUAUUGGACAAUGGGUGAAAGCCUGAUCCAGCCAUCCCGCGUGAAGGAUGACGGUCCUAUGGAUUGUAAACUUCUUUUGUAUAGGGAUAAACCUAGAUACGUGUAUCUAGCUGAAGGUACUAUACGAAUAAGCACCGGCUAACUCCGUGCCAGCAGCCGCGGUAAUACGGAGGGUGCAAGCGUUAUCCGGAUUUAUUGGGUUUAAAGGGUCCGUAGGCGGACCGAUAAGUCAGUGGUGAAAUCUCAUAGCUCAACUAUGAAACUGCCAUUGAUACUGUCGGUCUUGAGUAAAUUUGAAGUGGCUGGAAUAAGUAGUGUAGCGGUGAAAUGCAUAGAUAUUACUUAGAACACCAAUUACGAAGGCAGGUCACUAAGAUUUAACUGACGCUGAGGGACGAAAGCGUGGGUAGCGAACAGGAUUAGAUACCCCUG
rnacentral:rRNA from 1 species